rnacentral:rRNA from 1 species
UACGUAGGGUGCGAGCGUUGUCCGGAAUUAUUGGGCGUAAAGAGCUCGUAGGCGGCUUGUCGCGUCGUCCGUGAAAACUUGGGGCUCAACCCCAAGCUUGCGGUCGAUACGGGCAGGCUAGAGUUCGGUAGGGGAGACUGGAAUUCCUGGUGUAGCGGUGAAAUGCGCAGAUAUCAGGAGGAACACCGGUGGCGAAGGCGGCAUCCUGGACCGACAUUGACGCUGAGGCGCGAAAGCCAGGGGAGCAAACGGG